rnacentral:lncRNA from 1 species
GGUAAAGGGUCUGCUGGCUAGUGCAGGAGACACAAGAGAUUCGAGAUCCAUCCUGAGAUCAGGAAGAUCCCUUGGAGUAGGAAAUGGCAACCCAUUCCAGUGUUCUUGCCUGGAAAAUUCCUUGGACAGAGGAACCUGGUGGGCUACAGUUCAUGGGGUGGCAAAGAGUUGGACAUGACUGACGGUUGGCCAUACAUACAUGCAUGCAGGGUCUACCAGCAUUUAUUUAGGCAAUCCCCUGCCCCUGGAUGUCACAGCCCUGUCCUGGAUGCCCCUGUAACAGCCAAGUUGCAGCCUGUGCUCCCCCUUAGCUAACGUGCCAGGGCUCCGGGCAGUGGAGGGGACAUUCCAGGCUGCGGUGGGGACACCUCCAUCUGCCCUCCCAGGUGACCUAGGGUCCAGGCAACUGUGCUGUGCCAAGCUUGCAAUCAGACAGACCUGCCGUCUGGCCUGGCCUUGGCACUUGCUGUUUAUAACCUCCAGGGGCAGGGAUUUCCUUCCCUGAGGGCUGAGCCUCAGCGUCCGCAUCUGGAAAAGAAGGCUGUCCUUCCAACCAGAGAGGAUUUUCCGAGGAUCAGCUGGAAGAGGAAGCAGAAAAGAGCCUUGUGAAUCUCCAAGCUCGGCCCAAACGCUGACACCUGGUCAUCCCAUGCCCUUCAGUGGGGACCAGCCAUGCUCCCCGUGUGCCUCCUUCCUUUCCAGAAGCCAGCACUCUGCUCUUCACCUGGCUCUCCCUGCACUGACGGCAUCAUCUUGACCUUGAUGGCAGAAAUGCCAACCUGGGUGACCAACUCACUUGUCCACUCAGCCCAGGGCUGGGUCUGUGGGAACCGUCAGGUAAAUGUACUGCGGGUGGAUGGCUUGCUUCAUAAUGAGGGAAAACAACCCUGGGUUGGGUUUAAAGUAAGUCUGCCCUUGUUCCAACCCCCUCUAACCCUGCUA